GGCCUGAUAGCACAAUUGGAUAGUGUACCUGCCUUAAAUGUCCACUCCGAAAAGUUGUGUGAGCAGGAGAUCCUUGUUCAAUCCGGGGUCAGGCCA